rnacentral:lncRNA from 1 species
CUCCUGCCUCAGCCUCCCAAGUAGCUGAGGCAUGCACCACCACACCUGGAUAUUUUUUGUUUUUAGAAAGAUUUUCCUAUUAGCCCUUUGGCUGACACCUGACACCUUGUGAUAAUUACAUGAUCUCUGAAAUUCUUUGCCAAUAUACAAAGUGAAAUUUUUAUUAACAACUUGCAUUCACUUGAAUAUUUAGAUUUUGAGGCAUAUUUUUCCACUUUUCUCCAAUUUCAACAUUAGGGUGGAAGAUAAUUUAUAUCAUUAUCCUGUGACCUAUGAAUCUAUUGCUGAUUUAUAUCAAAUAAGUUCAUGUCAACACACUCUUAAAGUCAUUACUAUUUCUGUUUUCUAUUAAAGCAUAAGAGCAGCAGUGAUUGUUUUUAUAUUUCGUACGUAAGAUAUUGAACAUUGCUGCCAGAAUAAAAAUACAUAUCCUCGGAAUCAGCGGGGAAAGAAGACCCUGUUGAGCUUGAGCUUGACUCUAGUCUGGCACGGUGAAGAGACGUGAGAGGUGUAGAAUAAGUGGGAGGCCCCCGGCGCCCCACUGUCCCCGGGAGGGGGCGGGGCGGGGUCUGCCCGCCUUGAGGGCUGCCGGUGUAAUACCACUACUCUGAUCGUUUUUUUUUCACUGACCUGGUGAGGCCGGGGGGGCGGGGGGCGAGCCCCGAGGGGCUCUAGCUUCUGGUGCCAAGCGCCUGGCCACGCGC